ACAUGCAAGUCGAACGGCAGCGCGGGGAGCUUGCUCCUGGCGGCGAGUGGCGGACGGGUGAGUAAUGCGUAGGAAUCUACCUUGUAGUGGGGGAUAACCUGGGGAAACUCGGGCUAAUACCGCAUAAUCUCUUUGGAGCAAAGCGNGGGAUCUUCGGACCUCGUGCUAUAAGAUGAGCCUACGUCGGAUUAGCUUGUUGGUGGGGUAAUGGCCUACCAAGGCGACGAUCCGUAGCUGGUCUGAGAGGACGAUCAGCCACACUGGGACUGAGACACGGCCCAGACUCCUACGGGAGGCAGCAGUGGGGAAUAUUGGACAAUGGGGGAAACCCUGAUCCAGCAAUGCCGCGUGUGUGAAGAAGGCCUUCGGGUUGUAAAGCACUUUCGGUGGGGAAGAAAUUCUCAAGGGUAAUAUCCUUGGGCGUUGACGUUACCCACAGAAGAAGCACUGGCUAACUCUGUGCCAGCAGCCGCGGUAAUACAGAGAGUGCAAGCUUUAAUCGGAAUCACUGGGCGUAAAGCGCGCGUAGGUGGAUAUCUAAGUCGGAUGUGAAAGCCCUGGGCUUAACCUGGGAAUUGCACCCGAUACUGGGUAUCUUGAGUAUGGUAGAGGGAAGUGGAAU
rnacentral:rRNA from 1 species